rnacentral:rRNA from 1 species
AUUGAACGCUGGCGGCAUGCCUUACACAUGCAAGUCGAACGGUAACAGGUCUUCGGAUGCUGACGAGUGGCGAACGGGUGAGUAAUACAUCGGAACGUGCCUAGUAGUGGGGGAUAACUACUCGAAAGAGUGGCUAAUACCGCAUGAGAUCUACGGAUGAAAUCAGGGGAUCGCAAGACCUUGUGCUACUAGAGCGGCAGAUGGCAGAUUAGGUAGUUGGUGGGAUAAAAGCUUACCAAGCCGACGAUCUGUAGCUGGGCUGAGAGGACGAUCAGCCACACUGGGACUGAGACACGGCCCAGACUCCUACGGGAGGCAGCAGUGGGGAAUUUUGGACAAUGGGCGAAAGCCUGAUCCAGCAAUGCCGCGUGCAGGAUGAAGGCCUUCGGGUUGUAAACUGCUUUUGUACGGAACGAAAAGCCCCGGGUUAAUACCCUGGGUCAUGACGGUACCGUAAGAAUAAGCACCGGCUAACUACGUGCCAGCCGCCGCCGUAA